rnacentral:rRNA from 1 species
UGGGGAAUUUGGACAAUGGGCGAAAGCCUGAUCCAGCAAUGCCGCGUGUGUGAAGAAGGCCUUCGGGUUGUAAAGCACUUUUGUCCGGAAAGAAAUCCUUGGCUCUAAUACAGUCGGGGGAUGACGGUACCGGAAGAAUAAGCACCGGCUAACUACGUGCCAGCAGCCGCGGUAAUACGUAGGGUGCAAGCGUUAAUCGGAAUUACUGGGCGUAAAGCGUGCGCAGGCGGUUUGCUAAGACCGAUGUGAAAUCCCCGGGCUCAACCUGGGAACUGCAUUGGUGACUGGCAGGCUAGAGUAUGGCAGAGGGGGGUAGAAUUCCACGUGUAGCAGUGAAAUGCGUAGAGAUGUGGAGGAAUACCGAUGGCGAAGGCAGCCCCCUGGGCCAAUACUGACGCUCAUGCACGAAAGCGUGGGGAGCAAACAGGAUUAGAUACCCUGGUAGUCCACGCCCUAAACGAUGUCAACUAGUUGUUGGGGAUUCAUUUCCUUAGUAACGUAGCUAACGCGUGAAGUUGACCGCCUGGGGAGUACGGUCGCAAGAUU